CGAAUGUUACUCCAACUACAACCGUUAUAUUUUUUUGGAUUCCAGAUGGUGAAUCCAUUACCCGGUUUAACACUACGUAGUAAAGGGAUAUUUAAGCCACUUGAGUCUUCAAGUUUUAAAUUGUGGCAACUCAUUAUGGAUUCUCAAGUCGGCCAACGGGCAAUCAUUGGAGUAUUUAGGAAUGCCACGACCGACCACUCAAUUGCGACCGAUUCUAUGCAGAGCAUUCUGUAUUACAAAGACGAUGUCCUAAGCUCAUCAUCCACCUAAUUGAUAUUAUGCUAUGGUAUUUAUAUCGCAAAAAAAGGUUUGUACAAGGGAUAAAAAUCCACGUGAUCCCAAUUCAUUUGGUAUAAGGAUGAUUGAUAUAACUUGCAGCAUCUCGAAAGAAUCUGUGAAUACCAUUAAUAUUGUAUGUUUUCUUUCCAAUUGGAUGUGCUUUUAUGGAUUCACCAAAGUUAAAGGAUCUUCCCAUUAAGGUUAGCCAUCUCUUUCCUUGGUAGAUUGUGUAAAUUAAUGUCUUCCCUUUGGUUGGUCGUCCAAA